UCCAAUGCUUGUUUCUUUGAAUUGGUUAAUUCCAUUAACUAUUUAGGUGCAUACAUAGUACAAAUUUAUAUCAGAACCAACUUGAGAUUCCACAAAAUCGGGCCAGCAUUAACUCGCCCAAUUAAUUUCAUUUUGAUAUUAGACUCGAUUUCAUCUUUACAUGUAGAACAAAGAAAUGAAUAAACCAUUUAUAAAUAUACAAUUCCAUACCAAAUCUAAAUAUAUAGUGUAGCAAUAAUAGAUCUGCAUGUCUUUGAUUCCUCAUAAAAUGGAAUUUCCAAGGAAAACAAUCACAAAUCAUGCCUUCUUUGAUCCAUUGAACUGUUACUGCCAUUUCUAUUCAAGCAUAUUAGCUGGUGAUCAAGUUACAAUUUGUGACUCAGAAAUAGCCAUCAACUUAUGAGGCACAUUAUUAUACAGCAUGCUUUUGAUUGAACCAACCACAUUAAUUGAAUAACAAUCUACUCAACCCAAAUUCCAACAUAGGAAACUUGAGAAAUUAAAACCACAAAGCCAUGAAUUGAGGGAAUUAAGAACCAUGAUCUUGAACCACAAAUUAAGCUGCAUAAAAGUAGACAUAAUAAUAAAAAAAAAUAGUAAUGAGAAUUAUAAAAGUGAGAAAAAAAAGAAGAAGAAAAAUCUAGUCAGAGGUGCAACAUCAACUUGCAGCAGAAUAAAACAACCAACCAUCUCUUGUCCAACUAUUGGGAUAAAAAGGAUGUCAGCAAGCAGGUAUAAUAUGAUGUGAAAAAACAUUAGAUAAAGGGGGAAUAUAUUCACCUUGUCUGUUGCAUGCUCUGAAGGGGAGAGUCCUUCAAGAUAUGACCAACAAUAUCUUCUCCUUUGCAUAUGAAGGAGGAUCCUUCAAGAUAUGCCCAACAAAAGGAAGAUGUGAGGCUGUCAGGGCAUGACCUAGCAAGGAUUGGCCAUUUAUGCUUGUAGGGACAAGUAUUUUGUGAGGAGCCCUUUCUCUCUCUCUCUCUCUCUUAUUGAAAAAAAAAAAAAAAAAAUCUUACAACUAAGGAGAGGUUGAAUAAAUGCUCUCAAUUCAAUUAAUAUUCAGUUAUUUUCUAAAGAAUAAAUUUUAAAUCCACAUUUAGAUAGAAGAAUUUUGUAAAGAGGGGUUGAUUAUGUCCUCCACCCAAUCAAUUUUUUCAACACAAGACCAUGAAACUAAAUAAGCUAUAUUUUUCUGAAAAAAUUGAUUUGAUGGUCCAAAUUAAAAGGUACAAGUUUAAAUGAACUGCAUCUGACUCCUCCUUUCAUAAAUUUUUAGUCCCACUUCUUAACAUGAUCUUCAAAAUGGUCACUCCAAGCUAGAUCAUGCUGGCAGCUUCACCCAUUCCCAUGGACAAUUCCUAGAAACCUUCCUACUCUCAAAUAUAGUGGUACUGGUAAUAGGAGUUAGUCUAUGAUUGAAGGAAUCUAAUUAAGGGCCUGGGCCAAACAAUAAUAAUAAAAAAAAACAUGGGGGCUAAUCCUACAAGAAAGAGAUUUGAUUCAAGUAGGGGGAAAAGGUUCCACUAUAACAACUGAAUGACUUGGAAGGUAGUGUUAUCUAAGUCAACUCCAACUCCUAGCAAAAUAUAUAUAUGUAUAUAUAUAUAUAAAAUGCAAUACUAGACUUGUUAGUGUGACACAGCUGAAUCAUACUAAUACUAUGCACAAUAGCACAAGAGUGUAGUAUACUACACUACCAUGAAAAAAUAUGCAAUAAAUUGGUUCAUAUAUACAAUGAUUUUUUCUUUUUUCAUUACAAAAAUGAUCAAAAGUAAGAAAACAUCCCUUCUUGCUUUACAAACAAGCAUCUGCACAAAGUAAUAUUGAAAAAAAAAAGAAGAGAGAAAGCAUGCAUGGAGAAAAUCUAAAAAUGUGUUGCUCAAGAUUAAUUCCAGCUUUGAAAAAGAGCAAAUAUAAGUUAAAAAAAAAAGAUUAAAUAAGGACAAAGACAGAUCAUAUGGCAACACAACAUAUAGAUUGAAGGAAGAGAAAGUGUGAACAUUAGCAUGCAGAUCAAGGUCAUACAAAAUAGAUGGUAAACAGAAGCACGGAAAACAAUUAGAGAUGAAAGAAAAGAGAAACAUAGCAUGAAAACUAACAUGAUAGAACUACUAAACCUCUUCCUGGGCUGUGAGAUUUAUACAUGGUUUGAACUCCUUUGACCGGCCAGAGCAAGUGGGUGUGAGCCAUAAAGUAGAGAGAGAGAGAGAGAGAAAGAAAGAAAGAAAGAAGGGUCUAGAAAGAGAAAGAGAACAGGAUGAUUAGGGUUAGGGUUUGAGUGUGAUAGGUGUGGGAGAGAGAGAGAGAGAGAGAGAGAGAGAGAGAGAGAGAGAGAGAGAGGGUUUUUAGGGUUAGAUAGUUUGGCGAGUCAUAGGGGCCGUACCCCCAUGAGCGAUCACAUUAGAUAACACUGUAAAAGCUUUUAAAAAUUUCACAAGGUCGAGAUGGAACGGAACAGCAUUUUUUUCUCUUUUAUUUAAUUGGUAAAUUCACAGGAGCAGUCCCCUUACUUCGCCUAUAUUAUGAU
rnacentral:lncRNA from 1 species